UAAAGCAAAACUUUAUUAUAGCAAUAGUGAACAAUGGAUAACUAUUAAAGAUUUUUAACAUGUUUUUUUGAUAAAAAUAGCGAUUGGAUGUUUAGGUAAUAGGUGAAUAUCUAAAAGGGUCUCUUAUAUCGUACGAAAUUCUUUGAACUAAAAAUUAUCUACGGUCGUGUUAUUAACGAUGAUAAUCGCACAUACGUGUCGAUAAGUCUGAAUUUUUAGGCGGUGCGUACCGUGAAUCGAUCGAUCGUAUAAUCGCGAAUCUGUAUGCACUAUAGAUUAAACAUUGAUGUCAAUGUAUCCAGCGCACAUACACUUUCAUUCUGAGAUCCAAUUAUUACAAAUAUUUUCAAAACACUUCCUUAUAAUAAACAAUAAAACUAGAUUUGUUUUUUACAUAAAAAUGAGAAUGAUUUCCUAUGUAUAAAUCGCAGCUUCUCGAAAAAUCACACUUUGCGCAUACAGCAUAGAAAAAAACUGUACCUUCGUUCGACAGGCGCAAGGUGUGCGGCGUAUGCGUGGCCGAAUUAAUUUAAUCGAUAAACAUAUCGCCUGGUGCGAACAAACACAACGUUUGGCGGGGCGCUUUGAGGAAGAUCGAUAUUCACGAGUACGUUCCAUAAACAAAACUGCCGAUGCGCCGAUGCACGCCUCUGCGGGCGGCGUUACCUCGAGCGAUGCGGAGGGAUCCGUUCCUUACCGUGCGGUACUAAAUUGAAUUCCCGUAAGCGGCAUAUAUCGGCUUCUACGAGCUUGAAAACGACUCACGGCGCGCUACCGCCCGUCCCUAAUUUCCACCCUUGAUCGCUCUGCUGUCGACAGGAACGAGCAGAAUGCAAAAAAGAAGCGAACCGAAAAGACGGAGAAAAAUACGGCGAUGAUGAAGGAUGAGUUUUCCACGAUACGAAUGGACUAUUAAUCUCGCGUGCGCGCGAGUUUGCUCCAAUUUUCUGCUUUAAGGCAAGAUAUAUCGUAAAAAAGGAGGGAGAGCGACAAAAAAAAGAAGAAGAAAAAAAUCAUCAUGGAAGAAAAACGGCGCCGAUGACACAAGAGCGGAAAGAAAGGCCGGUAAAAUUAAGAGGAAAUCGGUCAAACGGAUCACAUUUUCUCUCGCUCUUCCCCUAAUCUUCGCGGUAAAAAAAAGUAAAGAGUAUACAGCGAAUCCUUCCCCAUUCCAUAUCUCACCCCCUCCCGAGAAAUAAGUCUACGUUUCCGAAAUCACUCGCGAAACCUAAGACAGUCGUCGGCUAGUCCUAGUGAUAUAUCUUAAUAAAUCGUUAUCGGCUAUCCUUCACUUCUCAUCUCUCUCUGUAUCGUAGUAGUAUGUAUCGUAACUAAUUAUUCAGUUAGGGCGUUUCUGCCUCCCCCCCCCCUCACCCCCUUUUCCGUUCCCUUACGCGAGUAACUAUUAUGUUGCGUUACUCAAAAUCGCAUCGCAUACAUUAAACCGAGCUAUAAUCUAUCUCGCCUUCGCGGUCGACGUUGCGGGAUAAUCGACUGGAAUUUCGCAGAUGCGAUGUUCUCUUUCCUUCUUUUUUUUUUUUUUUUUCGUUAAGAUGCAUUUCGAGCUCGUGUCUCCGCAAACAGCGACAAAAUUUGCUCUGCCGGGCAGGUUUUUCUCCCCAAAAUCCGCUCGCGAUAUCCCGCCGCAUCAAUCGCAUCCACUCGCAACAUACAGUAAUCUUACAAAUAAUAUAUCUAACAACUUUAGAUUCAACUUAGAUUGCUUUCCGUGAUCACGCCUACUCCAACCCGAAGUGCGCCCUCGUGCACUCGCCCUUGGACACUUGGCUCUCCCGCGCCUAGCAAGACGUAAAGGAGACCAUUCCCGUUCCAGGAUCGAUACGAUUUCUCUCCUCGCGUUACCAUAACACGCGGUUGACAUGACGUCGUGGCCAGUAAGGACUGCACGAGGGCGUUCUUAGCCAAAGUUCGUGUACUUUACUAUUCUAUCGUAAUAUUAAGUUUGCUUUUACUCUUUUUUAUAACUUUCUUUAGAUACACGAUAGGUAAGUUACUAUUCUUUACGUAUCAAUCCGUGACACAUCACGCAAUCACACACGCAUACAUAUACGCACGCACGCACAUACGUAUCUAGCACUCUUUCGACCGCUUCUUUUCUCUAUAUCCAGGCGCGCCUGUGAUCCGGUACGAUCCGGGACGUCGAUUGAUGGCUGGAGAAAUUUGAGGAUGAUUUGUAGGUACGAGUGGACCGAGCGGAUCGACGAGGAGCAUUCCCGCUAAAAACGCGGAGACUGCGCGCGAAAUUCCCGAGUGAGCCCCCCUCGUCGAUCCGCGCGACGUCGCGGUCGGCCGGUCUCUCGAUUUUAUCCUUAACGUGCGUUUAGCCUUAAUCCUUACGUCGUAAUACUAUUCAAUACUUGUUGAAGCUCAUAAUAAGUACAUACUCGAGGAUUAGAUUACCGAUUAUUGUGUGACUCUUACAUCUCCCAAGGUCUCGUUUAGGUGUGUACUCCGUUAUUCCAAUCUAUAACGUUUCCUCUAGGAGGAUUUAUCUUUCGGUCGGAGUUCCCCCGCCGCGUAUUUUCUCGCGUAUAGGUUGAGCCUUAUAGGUACAAAAAGUAUGUAAAUCGUCGACUGCGACAAUUUCUGUACACAAGUUAAUAACAGUCUCUCUCGCGCGCAUCCAGGCUCGAUCGGGCAUUUUCGCGCUGCUGCAUUAUAUAUCGAGGAUACUGCGUAAAUAUUACGAUAAAAAAUGUCUAUAUAUAUAUAUAUAUACAAACGCAAGGAUAAGAGCAAAACUAUCACCGGAUGCCUCAGAGAACCGAAAAUCUGUGUACAGAGAGAGGCGUCAUGACCUCUCCUACAAUUUUUUUAUGUAGCCUACGUGUAUAGUGAUUAUGGCUGGCUGGGUGCUCUCUCGAUACGCCGAUCGUUCGACAAACCGCGCUAAAAUGAGCACCGAUAGACGUUUGCUGUCGCGUUGAUUACAAAAUGUAUGUCGAUCUCCGAGGAAAAGUCGGACGGACGCUAACACGAACGCUAAUUCCACUACAGUGUGUGUGAGUCUGCGUUAUAUUUUCAUGGACGAUUACUAAACGAGGACGUAUGCAUAUGCGGUAUUGAAAUUAGCGGUGGAACGCGACAAAAUUGAAUUCCCCUUUGGUUUCCCGCGUGUAUCGAGAUUCGAAAAAUAUUCGUUUGCCCGGAAACGGUUUUUUUUUUGUCCGCGGUCACUCCAUUUGAUUGAGUGCGAAUACUAAUUAAAAACAUGUUGUCACUUUUCACAAUAAAUCUUUCUCGGCAAGAUCUUUUUUUUUUUUAUAUAAAAAUAUAACGUUAUUAUAUCUAUAUACAGAGAAUUACAAAGUCAAAAACACACUCCUGUAUCCGUAUUCGUUCGAAAAAUAACGCGAAAACCAGCGACGAUAAAAAUAAGAGAAAUCGAAUAAUAUAAUCGUAUUGAGAUCCCAAGUGUCAUCGAAUCAAGUGUAACGGCGUACAUUAAAAUUCCAGAUUGAUUUCGGGAAACAAAUUUUAUGGACGCCACGCCACGAGCUCGAUUCAGUCGCAAUCUACCUGCGUAGUGUUAAAGACACGUUAGAAACGCAAUGACGAUUCGAUAGUCCGCUCGCAGCGUCGAGUCCGGAAGUCGCGUCGAAACGAUCGCUCGCCUCGAUGUGUGCCCCAGCACCGCGUUUACUUUUUGGUGGCGGUUGUUAUGCCGCCGAUAUCGUUGCAGGAUGCAACGAGAGAUCCGUGGCCGUGUUGAUCGAAAACUAAUAAGCAAACAUGUAUAUUCUACGCUAAUAUUAGACUUACCUAAGGAAAGUGUGUACACGUGACUUUUGGAAUCCGAUAUAUUAUGUACAGUGUACCCGGCGCGUACACAACGGUCGCUCGUUAGGUGCGUAACGCGUUUUUCGUACGCGCGCGCGUGUCGAUCGGGGAAAAAGAAUGGGAUGAAAGGAGACGGAAAAUGUACAUGAGUCCGAGACCACAGAGGUCUCACCGGUUUUCCUGCGAAAAAGAUAGAUUCGCGUAGCACCUUAGUUAAAGGAGAGGAUUCUCGACGAUAACAACGCGCGGGGGAUACUCGAGGCGAUUCCUCGUGAACUGGAGCGCGAUGAUUUUGACGUUUCUGUCCGACACGACACGUGUGCUUUCAUCGACACAAUGUACGCGCGCGCGCGCACGUAAAAAUGCGGUGUCAUCGCGCGGUCGUUUCGCCGUGUCUCUCAGGUGGGUACGCGAAGAAUAAUGAUGAUAAUCGGAACGGCGCACGAAAGUUCCGGCAAACAAAAGAUAACCAAAGGCGGGAGUUUGCGCGAUCGUCGAGACGCGAUAGGGAAAAAAAAAAAAGAAACGAAGGAUAUGUUAGGAGAGGGUUGGUGUAUUUGAGGGGUAGGUGUGCAAGAGUAGAAAAUAGGCGUGUGCGCGCCGCAAAAGUGGCGAACGUGAUAUGGAAA